UGGGGAAUAUUGCACAAUGGGCGCAAGCCUGAUGCAGCCAUGCCGCGUGUGUGAAGAAGGCCUUCGGGUUGUAAAGCACUUUCAGCGAGGAGGAAGGUGGUGGACUUAAUACGUUCAUCAAUUGACGUUACUCGCAGAAGAAGCACCGGCUAACUCCGUGCCAGCAGCCGCGGUAAUACGGAGGGUGCAAGCGUUAAUCGGAAUUACUGGGCGUAAAGCGCACGCAGGCGGUUUGUUAAGUCAGAUGUGAAAUCCCCGGGCUCAACCUGGGAACUGCAUUUGAAACUGGCAAGCUAGAGUCUCGUAGAGGGGGGUAGAAUUCCAGGUGUAGCGGUGAAAUGCGUAGAGAUCUGGAGGAAUACCGGUGGCGAAGGCGGCCCCCUGGACGAAGACUGACGCUCAGGUGCGAAAGCGUGGGGAGCAAAACAGGAUUAGAUACCCUGGUAGUCCACGCUGUAAACGAUGUCGAUUUGGAGGUUGUGCCCUUGAGGCGUGGCUUCCGGAGCUAACGCGUUAAAUCGACCGCCUGGGGAGUACGGCCGCAAGGUUAAAACUCAAAGGAAUUGAC
rnacentral:rRNA from 1 species